GGAAGAAGGACCUUUGUCGCUCUGUGUUUCUACACUGCACUACUUACUCUCUCAGCUCACUCUCUUGCUCCUUCCCUCUAUGAUACUCUCUCUCACCCCUUCCUUCCCUCCUCUAUAAUACUCUCUCUCACCUCUUCCUUCCCUCCUCUAUAAUACUCUCUCUCACCCCUUCCUUCCCUCCUCUAUAAUACUCUCUCAUCCCUUCCUUCCCUCCUCUAUAAUACUCUCUCUCACCCCUUCCUUCCCUCCUCUAUAAUACUCUCUCUCACCCCUUCCUUCCCUCCUCUAUAAUACUCUCUCUCACCCCUUCCUUACCUCCUCUAUAAUACUCUCUCUCACCCCUUCCUUCCCUCCUCUAUAAUACUCUCUCAUCCCUUCCUUCCCUCCUCUAUAAUACUCUCUCUCACCCCUUCCUUCCCUCCUCUAUAAUACUCUCUCUCACCCCUUCCUUCCCUCCUCUAUAAUACUCUCUCUCACCCCUUCCUUCCCUCCUCUAUAAUACUCUCUCACCCCUUCCUUCCCUCCUCUAUAAUACUCUCUCUCACCCCUUCCUUCCCUCCUCUAUAAUACUCUCUCUCACCCCUUCCUUCCCUCCUCUAUAAUACUCUCUCUCACCCCUUCCUUACCUCCUCUAUAAUACUCUCUCUCACCCCUUCCUUCCCUCCUCUAUAAUACUCUCUCUCAUCCCUUCCUUCCCUCCUCUAUAAUACUCUCUCUCACCCCUUACUUCCCUCCUCUAUAAUACUCUCUCUCACCCCUUCCUUCCCUCCUCUAUAAUACUCUCUCUCACCCCUUCCUUCCCUCCUCUAUAAUACUCUCUCUCACCCCUUCCUUACCUCCUCUAUAAUACUCUCUCUCACCCCUUCCUUCCCUCCUCUACAAUACUCUCUCUCACCCCUUCCUUCCCUCCUCUAUAAUACUCUCUCUCACCCCUUCCUUCCCUCCUCUAUAAUACUCUCUCUCACCCCUUCCUUCCCUCCUCUAUAAUACUCUCUCUCACCCCUUCCUUACCUCCUCUAUAAUACUCUCUCUCACCCCUUCCUUCCCUCCUCUAUAAUACUCUCUCUCACCCCUUCCUUCCCUCCUCUAUAAUACUCUCUCUCACCCCUUCCUUCCCUCCU